rnacentral:rRNA from 1 species
GACGAACGCUGGCGGCGUGCUUAACACAUGCAAGUCGAACGGAAAGGCCCCUUUGGGGGUACUCGAGUGGCGCACGGGUGAGUAACACGUGAGUAACCUGCCCUUGACUUCGGGAUAACUUCAGGAAACUGGGGCUAAUACCGGAUAGGAAUCCUUGCUGCAUGGUGGGGGUUGGAAAGCUUCGGCGGUUUUGGAUGGACUCGCGGCUUAUCAGCUUGUUGGUGGGGUAGUGGCUUACCAAGGCUUUGACGGGUAGCCGGCCUGAGAGGGCGACCGGCCACAUUGGGACUGAGAGACGGCCCAGACUCCUACGGGGGGCAGCAGUGGGGAAUAUUGCACAAUGGGCGGAAGGCGGAUGCAGCAACGCCGCGUGCGGGAUGACGGCCUUCGGGUUGUAAACCGCUUUCAGCAGGGGCGAAGCUUGUGGUGACGGUACCUGCAGAAGAAGCACCGGCUAACUACGUG